rnacentral:rRNA from 1 species
UUGGAGGGCAAGUCUGGUGCCAGCAGCCGCGGUAAUUCCAGCUCCAAUAGCGUAUAUUAAAGUUGUUGCAGUUAAAAAGCUCGUAGUUGAAUUUCGGGGUCAGCAGGUUGGUCGUGCCAAUGGUAUGCACUGGCCUUGCUGAUUCCUCCCUCUUGAUGAGCCGUAAUGCCAUUAAUUUGGUGUUGCGGGGAAUCAGGACUGUUACUUUGAAAAAAUUAGAGUGUUUAAAGCAGGCAAGCGCUUGAAUACAUUAGCAUGGAAUAAUGAAAUAGGACGUUUAAUCCUAUUUUGUUGGUUUCUAGGAUUGACGUAAUGAUUAAUAGGGAUAGUUGGGGGCAUUAGUAUUCAAUUGUCAGAGGUGAAAUUCUUGGAUUUAUUGAAGACUAACUACUGCGAAAGCAUUUGCCAAGGAUGUUUUCAUUAAUCAAGAACGAAAGUUAGGGGAUCGAAGACGAUCAGAUACCGUCGUAGUCUUAACCAUAAACUAUGUCGACUAGGGAUCGGAUGAUGUUAAUU